GAUGAACGCUGGCGGCGUGCCUAACACAUGCAAGUCGAGCGAUUCUCUUCGGAGAAGAGCGGCGGACGGGUGAGUAACGCGUGGGUAACCUGCCCUGUACACACGGAUAACAUACCGAAAGGUAUGCUAAUACGAGAUAAUAUGCUUUUAUCGCAUGGUAGAAGUAUCAAAGCUUUUGCGGUACAGGAUGGACCCGCGUCUGAUUAGCUAGUUGGUAAGGUAACGGCUUACUAAGGCGACGAUCAGUAGCCGACCUGAGAGGGUGAUCGGCCACAUUGGAACUGAGACACGGUCCAAACUCCUACGGGAGGCAGCAGUGGGGAAUAUUGCACAAUGGGCGAAAGCAUGAUGCAGCAACGCGGCGUGAGCGAUGAAGGCCUUCGGGUCGUAAAGCUCUGUCCUCAAGGAAGAUAAUGACGGUACUUGAGGAGGAAGCCCCGGCUAACUACGUGCCAGCAGCCGCCGUAA
rnacentral:rRNA from 1 species